GGCAUCCUGACGUCAAUUUGACAUCAACAAGUAGUCAAGAUUUUGACCAACAUGUAUGACGUGCAUAAAUAUGCAUAAUUUCAUUAUAUUUUGUAAUGAUUUCCUUGUGGUUGUAAAGAGGCCCAACAAAGGUAUCAAUCUAACAUGUUUUUUCUGGUCCCUACAUCUCAGGUCUAUAUUAUUGACAUUAAAUCAACGUUGAUUUGAUGUCAGGAAAUAAGACGUCAAAUUGAUGUGAAAUUUAUGUCAAAACAACGUCUGUUAAAAUGUCUGAAAAGGUAUAUUAUUAGCCUACUCAUUGUAAAUCGACGCGAGUUUUUCAACAUCCUGACCCACACAGCAGAGGGUUCCAAAACGGACCCUCUGCGGCGGACUCCGUGCGGAUUCGCACAUCGAACGCGCCCUUUCCAGUCCUAACGGCUCCUUCAGUUUUCAAAUUUCUCGUUGAUGAAGUGGAAGACGAAACAGCGGCGUCUGAAGGCUCACUGUCAUUCACAAGUGGCUCCAGUCUGGUUUGGGGGUUCUGCCAUCCAAGUAAAGUUAUUCACAAGUGGCUCCAGUCUGGUUUGGGGGUCUACGCUUUCUCAUCCUGUCCUGCCACCUAAGUGAAGUUAUUCACAAGUGGCUCCAGUCUGGUUUGGGGGUCUACGCUUUCUCAUCCUGUCCUGAGUGAUUCUUGACAUUGAAAUUAUAUCAAAAUUUGUC